AUUCUGGUUGAUCCUACCAGUAAUAUACGCUUGUCUCAAAGGUUAAGCCAUGCAUGUCUAAGUACAAACAUAAAUGAAUGUGAAACCGCAUAAGGCUCAGUAUAACAGCUAUAAUUCACAAGAUCAUCCUACCACUAGUUACUUGGAUAACUGUGGAAAAUCCAGAGCUAAUACAUGCAACAUGCCGGGACUGUUGCCCUCGCGGGUAGCUGAACUGGUGCACUUAUUAGUUAAACCAAUCGCCUCCGGGCGGCUUGAGUUGAAGUCUGGAUAAGGACGCAGAUCGUAUGGUCGCUUGUCGACUGACGACAGAUCUUUCAAAUGUCUGCCCUAUCAACUAUUGAUGGUAGUGUAGAGGACUACCAUGGUUGCGACGGGUAACGGGGAAUCAGGGUUCGAUUCCGGAGAGGGAGCCUGAGAAAUGGCUACCACAUCCAAGGAAGGCAGCAGGCGCGUAAAUUACCCAAUCCCAGUACGGGGAGGUAGUGACGAGAAAUAACAAUAUGGACCUCUCUAACGAUGGUCCAUAAUUGGAAUGAGUUGAGUAUAAAUCCUUCAACAAGGAUCAAGUGGAGGGCAAGUCUGGUGCCAGCAGCCGCGGUAAUUCCAGCUCCACUAGCGUAUAUUAAAGUUGUUGCGGUUAAAACGUUCGAAGUUGAUUGCCCCGUCCCAGACACGUGACCGCCACGGGCGCCCGGUUACACGCCGGGGCCGUUCGUGCGCGCGCUCACGGCUGCGACUUACAAUGGUGUACUUGGCGUUACUCUGUGAACGAGUACCGUGCUACCGGUUAACUCCGGCACGGGCUCCUCAUGGUGCUCAAGAUACUCACAUUUACCUUGAACAAAUUAGAGUGCUCAAAGCAGGCUAAGACAAAGCGUCCGGCCUCCCCGUGGGGUUGCGUUGCUGAGAAUAAUCUUGCAUGAAUAAUGGAAUAUGACCUCGGUUUAUACGAUUUCGUUGGUUUGUCAGAAACUAGAGUAAUGAUUAACAGAAGUAGUUGGGGGCAUUGGUAUUACGGGCGCGAGAGGUGAAAUUCGUAGACCGUCGGUAGGGACCAACUGAAGCGAAAGCGUUUGCCAUGGAUGCUUUCUUUAAUCAAGAACGAAAGUUAGAGGAUCGAAGGCGAUUAGAUACCCGCCCUAGUUCUAACCGUAAACGAUGCCAAUUAGCAAUUUGGGAGGACGCUACCCCUUUCCGGGUGCUCUCAGUCGCUUCCGGGAAACCAAAAUCGGGUUCCGGGGGAAGUAUGGUUUGCAAAGUUGAAACUUAAAUUAUUGAUGGAAGGGCACCACUAGGAAGUGGAUGCUUGCGGCUUAAUUUGACUUAACACGGGAAAAUUACCGGCCAAACUUAUCGAGGUAAGACAGAUUGAUAGCUCUUUCUCAAAUUUAAGGUAGUGGUGCCAUGGCCGUUUCUUAGUUCGUGCGAGAUGAUUUGUCUGGUUAAUUCCGAUAACGAAAACGUGGGGGGGAAACUCCCAAAAAACACUUGCCUAACUAGAACGCCUGUCAGCAGUUGCGCCUCCGGACGCACCUGACGUUACAGCCGGGCGGCGCCUUCACGGGCGGUCGUCGGCUACGUUUGCCCUGCUUACGGGACAACUUGUCGUUAGCAAGCUGAGAAUGAGCGAUAACAGGUCCGUGAUGCCCUUAGAUGUUCUGGGCUGCACGCGUGCUACAAUGUGGUGUCGCAGCCGUGUUCUCGCCAAUAGGGCGCCCCCAGUUUCCGAGUACGGAACGGGAAAUCACUUAAAAUGCCGCCAUCUAGUCGGGAUUGGGGGACUGCAACGGUCCCCCAUGAACCUGGAAUUUCUAGUAAGCACUAGUCAUUAGCUAGUGCUGAUUACGUCCCUGCCCUUUGUACCACACCGCCCGUCGCUACUACCAGUACGGAUUAUUUAGUGAGGUUUCUGGAGCUUACCUUCCGCGGUUCUUCGUGAGCUGCAGCUGGCAUGGCUGAAGUUGACCGAACUUGAUGAUUUUAGAGGAAGUAAAAGUCGUUACAAGGUUUCCGUAGGUGAACCUGCGGAAGGAUCAUUA
rnacentral:rRNA from 1 species